rnacentral:rRNA from 1 species
AUUGAACGCUGGCGGCAGGCCUAACACAUGCAAGUCGAGCGGGGUUUUCGGACCUAGCGGCGGACGGGUGAGUAAUGCGUAGGAAGCUACCCGAUAGAGGGGGAUACCAGUUGGAAACGACUGUUAAUACCGCAUAAUGUCUACGGACCAAAGUGUGGGACCUUCGGGCCACAUGCUAUCGGAUGCGCCUACGUGUGGAUUCGCUAGUUGGGGAGGUAAUGGCUCACCAAGGCGACGAUCCCUAGCUGGUUUGAGAGGAUGAUCAGCCACACUGGAACUGAGACACGGUCCAGACUCCUUCGGGAGGCAGCAGUGGGGAAUAUUGGACAAUGGGCGCAAGCCUGGUCCAGCCAUGCCGCGUGUGUGAAGGAGGCCUUCGGGUUGUAAAGCACUUUCAGUAGGGAGGAAGCGUUGUGUGUUAAUAGUACACAGCGUUGACGUUACCUACAGAAGAAGCACCGGCUAACUCUGUGCCAGCAGCCGCGGUAACAC